GGCAGGUAGCUCAGUGGUGGAGUGCAUGCUUUGUGUGUAUGACGUCCUGGGUUCAAAUCCUAGCUGCUCCCA